rnacentral:rRNA from 1 species
UACAGAGGGUGCAAGCGUUGUUCGGAAUUACUGGGCGUAAAGGGCGCGUAGGCGGCCACCGCAAGUCGACUGUGAAAUCUCCGGGCUUAACCCGGAAAGGUCAGCCGAUACUGCGGGGCUAGAGUGCAGAAGGGGCAACUGGAAUUCUCGGUGUAGCGGUGAAAUGCGUAGAUAUCGAGAGGAACACCUGCGGCGAAGGCGGGUUGCUGGGCUGACACUGACGCUGAUGCGCGAAAGCGUGGGGAGCAAACAGG